rnacentral:rRNA from 1 species
AGUUACCAGCACGUUAUGGUGGGCACUCUAAGGAGGACUGCCGGGUGACAAACCGGAGGAAAGUGGGGAUGACGUCAAGUCAUCAUGGCCCUUACGGCCUGGGCUACACACGUGCUACAAUGGUCGGUACAAAGGGUUGCCAAGCCGCGAGGUGGAGCUAAUCCCAUAAAACCGAUCGUAGUCCGGAUCGCAGUCUGCAACUCGACUGCGUGAAGUCGGAAUCGCUAGUAAUCGUGAAUCAGAAUGUCACGGUGAAUACGUUCCCGGGCCUU